UGGCUCAGCCUUGGUAUCUAGGAAAACUUAUCUAUUAUAGUAAGUUCCAGGGGCCAGAGGAAGAUGGCUUUGGAGGACUUGUAUCAUCCACAAUUAUGCAUAUCAAGGCACACCAAAAAGUGAGCUUAGAAUUGGAAGAAGAAAAUAUGCUGACGGACAGAGGCAAAAGACGCAACCAAAGAGAAAACUUUGGAACCACAGUGGGAAGGACCAUUCCAGGUACUCGUCACCACCUUCAUGGCAGUCAAGAUCAAAGAAUAGAAGGCUUGGAUCCAUCACUCCCAAGUGAAGAAAUCUCCUGAAGAAAUUUGGGAAAUUGCACCAGGCGACGGAGACCUGAAGCUGAAAUUCACCAGGAACAGCGAGUAAUGGACUUAAAUUAUCAUAGACAUAAUGUGAACGUUUGGGACCCUUGUGGUCAUUGCCACAACUACAAUCCCUAGUCUCUUAGGGCUUUAAGCAGAAUGCUAAUGGUCACAAAUGCAAGUAUGUGGGAAGGAAAAAGUGUUUCAAGUAUGUGAAUUUGCAUUUGUAAAAAAUGGGUUCCAUGAAGCUCACCAUCCACCCAUGGAACUCAUCUGAGUUGGUCCUAGAUGCUGUGACAAAUGCUUGACCACGUGUCCUAAAUUUAGACUUAAAAUUGAAGGGUGCGCAGCAAAAGGGUUUGAUCUUGAUUUUUACAUCACUGCAUUGAGUUUCACAAAUCAAAGCCAAACAAUCCCACCAGUGUCAAAGAGGACUGUAA